rnacentral:rRNA from 1 species
UACGAAGGGGGCUAGCGUUGUUCGGAAUUACUGGGCGUAAAGCGCGUGUAGGCGGGUCUUUAAGUCAGGGGUGAAAUGCCAAGGCUCAACCUUGGAACUGCCUUUGAUACUGGGGACCUUGAGUCCGGGAGAGGUGAGUGGAAUUGCGAGUGUAGAGGUGAAAUUCGUAGAUAUUCGCAAGAACACCAGUGGCGAAGGCGGCUCACUGGCCCGGAACUGACGCUGAGACGGCGAAAAGCGUGGGGAGCAAACAGGG